AUGGCCGAAGCCGCCUACAACUACUUCUCCAACGUCAUUGGCUCGUUUGAAGAACGCACCUUCUCCCUAGACCAGUCCCUUUUGCGCACGGGAUCAUUCGACCUAUCCGACUUAGAGACACCUUUCACGGAGGACGAGAAUUGGAGGGCCAUCAAAAGCCUACCAACCGGAAAGGCUCCCGUCCUGGAUGGAUUCAUGGCCGAGUUCCUUCGAGCUUGUUGGGAUAUUAUCAAGCAUGACAUAUGUGAGGCUUUUGACAAGCUAUACACCACCAAUGGAUGAGGUUUCCAAAAACUCAACGAAGCGCUCCUCACUCUCCUACCCAAGUGCCCGGACGCCACUGCCCUAUCUGACUACCGCCCCAUUAGCCUCAUCCACCUCAUUGCAAAACUCUUUACAAAGGUGUUGUCUCUGUGGCUUGCACCUCGUCUUGGGGCCAUGGUCUCGACCAACCAGAGCACCUUCAUCGCCGGUUGA
rnacentral:rRNA from 1 species